UGGAGAAGCUACUUCUAGGCUGACCGGGGCUGCUGACGUCGGGGUGCCCAAGCGGUGGUUGCUCUCGCGGCCCGCAUGCCCCCGGGGAGAAUGGAAUGAGCUCGUGGUUGCAGGAAGGAGGAGCCGCGACGUUGUGUGUAAUCCCGGCGCGGUGCGGGGAGUGGAGUAGGUGCUCAGGAAAACGCCCCCGGUGUUACUGAUGCAUUGUGGCAGUGAGCCUGGGAACUCCGCCUGUGGUGGGACCCCAGGCUCCACAUCCUGAGGGAGGAGGUGCCGCGUGGACGCCAAGUCUUCCCGUCAGCCCUGCGGUCGCAGAAGGCGGGACUCAUGCCAUGUGUCGGUCACACCAGGCGUCAUCCCAACCCAACUGACUGUAGUUACUUCUCUUACAUGGGCCUGUUUGUAAGCAUGAAGACCCGUCCUAGAAUAGGCACAUCUGAAUUACUUGGCUUUUGGUUCUCAAGUAAAUCUCGCUCAGAACAAACCCUCCCCUGAACGUAGGUGCAGGUGACAUGUGAGGGCCACCCCCGCAGACCUCACUUUGGAAAUAAUGCUCUAGCUGGCUCCAGAUCCUCUUGCAGGUGAUCCUGACCUGCACCUAGAGAAACAACCGCUUUUUCAUACAAGACUUGCAGGAAAAGUUUGGUUUUAUUUUGGUCCCUGGCAGUUGUCACAAUGGGCAGCUUCGGGCUUAUGUCAUCUAAUGAAUUAAGUGUCACACCAUGAAGACUGCAGGGUAGUGACAGUCUGAAAAUUGGGGUGGAACACUCCUUGGGUUUUAAAAGGACCAGGACGGGUGUUUGGGAAAAGUUGGAGCAGGAGAAAGGGAGGCUGGGAUUUUCUUCUCCACUCUGCGCUUGGUGCUGAGCAUCAGGCCGAUCGACGAAAGGGCACGUUCAUCGCCUCCGUCCCGUGUCACCGGUCGCCUCCUCCCUGAAAGCAGGUGCUCCUCUCACUGUAUCAGCUGCUCCAGCAAAUGUGGCGUUUUACAGAAAAGCCCUUAUGGUGGUGUUUCCACGACACUGGGGUGCCGAGCGGGUUUGGGGUGUGCAGCGGCCUGGUCGCGGGCAUUUUGGCCGCAUGUGUAGGCAGGGUGCUGUGGGAGCCGGUGACUCCUGCGCCAGGGACGUCGACAAGAAGCCACCAGCUCGGCACCGGGGGUCGAACGCAGUGGGCCUGGCCGGUUCGCUGAGUAACUGGGGCGAGCCCGCGGGGAGCCGGAAGCCCAGUAACAUCUGGCUUUCGGCUCUUACUUCAUGGUGACGGAAGAGGCUGUCUCCUCCAGGGACUAGUGCCAUUCAGCCUGAUGUGGCCAGGGGAGGCGCAGGGGUGAGGAAGGACGUCCACCGGGCCCUUGGUUUCUCCAAGGGUUAGACCCAGCGGUUGCCCCCAGGCUGUCUUCUUGGAGGCUCGGGACGGCAGGGGUUUAACUGAAGAGCCUCCAGGCACAGGUGCUUCCCCACCAGGACCCACGCAGGCUUGACCUGCUGCUGCCGCCACCUCGCCCAGGUGGCAGGGGCAGACGGCAAAGCCCUGUUUGACAGGCGACAAAGCGCCACAGGUCCAGUCGUGAUGUGGGGCGACACGUGUCACCCCAGGGUCUUGGAGCCACAGGGACUCGCCCCAGUGUUGCUUCCGUGAUGCGCUUUGGGUCAGUGACCAGCAGUGACUUGAUACCCGAUAUGCGCUGGGCGCCCCACCAGGCCCCGGGGUGCACAGCGCACGACGCGGGUGCUUGCCCACGAUGGGGGGGGGCUCACGGAGGACCCCACCUGGCCCUGCCCGAGGCUGCCGCAGCCUUCACCUUUUCUAUUCUUAACAGAAAGGAGCCUGGCCAGGGCUUUUCAUUCCACUGUAUACAACAUCGUAGGUGACCUGCUUGCUGUUUCUCUUUUACCCCCUCCCUCCCCCAACAGGUUCAUUUCUGUAACCAAACAAUAGAGAAUGUAACUCUGA